GUCGAACGAGAAACAUUCCCUUCGGGGAAAGGAGUAAAGUGGCGCACGGGUGAGUAACACGUGAGCAACCUACCUUCGAGUUCAGGAUAACUGGCCGAAAGGGCAGCUAAUACUGGAUAAGACCACAGGGGCUUCGGUCCCAGGGGUCAAAGCCGGCCUCUCGAUGAAGCCGGUGCUUGGGGAUGGGCUCGCGGACCAUUAGCUUGUUGGUAGGGUAACGGCCUACCAAGGCUGAGAUGGUUAGCUGGUCUGAGAGGACGAUCAGCCACACUGGAACUGAGACACGGUCCAGACUCCUACGGGAGGCAGCAGUGAGGAAUAUUGCGCAAUGGGGGCAACCCUGACGCAGCAACGCCGCGUGGGUGAAGAAGGCUUUCGGGUUGUAAAGCCCUGUCAGGUGGGAAGAACCUCUUGUAGAUCAAUACCCUACAGGAUUGACGGUACCACCAGAGGAAGCACCGGCUAACUCCGUGCCAGCAGCCGCGGUAAGACGGAGGGUGCAAGCGUUGUUCGGAUU
rnacentral:rRNA from 1 species